AUUGAACGCUGGCGGCAGGCCUAACACAUGCAAGUCGAACGAGUGGCGGACGGGUGAGUAAUUUCUGGGAAACUGCCUGAUUGAGGGGGAUAACUACUGGAAACGGUAGCUAAUACCGCAUACCAUCAGAUGUGCCCAGAUGGGAUUAGCGUGUUGGUGGGGUAACGGCUGACCAAGGCGACGAUCCCUAGCUGUGCUGAGAGGAGGACCGGCCACACUGGGACUGAGACACGGUCCAGACUCCUACGGGAGGCAGCAGUGGGGAAUAUUGCACAAUGGACGCAAGCCUGAUACAGCCAUGCCGCGUGUAUGAAGAAGGCCUUCGGAUUGUAAAGUACUUUCGGCGGGGAAGCGGUAACCACAGAGAAAGCAACGGCUAACUACGUGCCAGCAGCCGCGGUAAUAC
rnacentral:rRNA from 1 species